rnacentral:lncRNA from 12 species
AUGUGCCCACCGCUGGGCUGCCUGCAGCGUUACCCCGGCAGCCAAGGUGGGGCGGCCACCGGAGGUCUGCCCGCCGCGAACGAGAGCAUUGCACGCACACGCGCACGCACACGCACACGGCCGAAUGCGAGCGACCUUUGGAAAGGAGGAGAGCCCGCACCGGGGGACAACACGGUUCAACUGAGGACACGGUGUGAGGCCAAACAAACCAGAGCACCAGGUGAUUCCACCUACGGGUGGAAUCCCUGCCAGCAGAGCACAGAGCCCUGGGGCGGCGGAGGGGGACGGUACCCACAGGUGGCGCAGUCCCCGGUACGGGCCAGGAGGCCCCGGGCUCUGCCUACCGACCGUGCGGUGGCCGUGUGUCCCGCUCCGACGUCGAGCGCCAUCAGGGAAGGCAGCACGGGGCUCUCGGGCCACAGGCCAAGCACGUCUCAGGCCGAGCAGACGGGGCGGUGUGUCCAGGCCCCGAGUCUUGUCCGCGUGGCCACGCCAUCAGCAGCCGGCGGGUCGUCAACGGAUGGAAGGCUGCUCAGGAGAUGCGUGCAGGAACAGGGAUCGGAAUGAGCAUGAUGAUGGACACAUUCGCCCAGCUAAGUCUCCACGACUAUUGGGAUGUCCAAUCCUCCACAUGGAAGCCAUCAAAUGUUGGACUGCCCUGAUAGGCCCUGGAGAUCCCCGUUCUACGCACCCCUGAGGCACCUCUGGACAUGCCGCGCAGCCACCACCACCAGUCACGAGUGUGCACCGGUAUCUUGUUACUCACUCAUUCUCUUAACAUCUGUACACGGCUCCGAGGGAAGCAGGAACACGUGCUCGUUUUCUGCCCACGCACCAGAAAUGUGCAUCCACGGUGGCUCUUAUCAAUAAAUCAUUUCCCAUCAUUGAUCUGUUCCGUUGA